UGAGUUUUGCAUUGGCUUCCCUUGGUGUC
rnacentral:piRNA from 1 species